rnacentral:lncRNA from 1 species
GCAGAGGCAGGCGUAUUUCUGAGUUCGAGGCCAGCCUGGUCUACAGAGCAAGUUCCAGGACACCAGGACUACACAGAGAAACCCUGUCUCGAAAAACCAAAAAAAAAAAAAAAAGAUAAGGUCUUAUGUAGCCUUGGUAGGCCAUGCAUUUGAUAGAUAGCUGAGGAUAAUUUGAACUUGCCACCUUACCUCUCAGCCUGUUGAGAGCUGGGGUAACAAGUGCACACCGUUGUGCCGGGCCACUGAUUGGGUUUCUGUUACUGUGUAGAGCAGGUUGGACUCAAACUGAGGUCAGCUGACCUUUUGCCUACACUUCCUGAAUUCUAUGAUUAAAGACAUGAGCUAUUAUACCUAGAAGUACUUGAUUUCUUUUUUGUUUUUUUUGCAUAGGUAGUAUCCAAUAUGUGGAUAUAUUGAUUAUAGUUUUUAAUUUAUGUUUGUAAUAUUUGAAUAAUUUCACCUUUUAUAUUUAUGUGAAACUAACUUUUUUGAAGUUUUGAAAACUUUGGGAUUGGUUUUGAUUCUUUUAAUUUCUUUCUUCAUCUAUAUACAAUAAAUCAUUAACUCAUAGUAUUUCUUCUUAAGUAUGUUAGAGAUUGUAACAUCUUUUUUUUCUUUGGUUUUUCGAGACAAGGUCUCUCUGUGUAGCCCUAGCUGUCCUGGAACUCACUCUGUAGACCAGGCUGGCCUCGAACUCAGAAAUCUGCCUCCCAAGUGCUGGGAUUAAAAGCAUACGCCACCACGCCCGGCCUUGAUUAUAACAUUCUUUUUUUUUUGAAGCUUUUUUUAAAUUUGUGUUUUUUUUAAAUUCUCAGGUUCUUUUUUUUUUUUUUUUUUUUUUUAAGAUUUUUUUAUUGAUUAUAUGUAAGUACACUGUAGCUGUCUUCAGAAACACCAGAAGAGGGAGUCAGAUCUUGUUACAGAUGAUUGUGAGCCACCAUGUGGUUGCUGGGAUUUGAACUCAGGACCUUUGGAAGAGCAGUCGGGUGCUCUUACUUGCUGAGCCAUCUCACCAGCCCCUGAUUAUAACAUUCUUAAGAGACUACUUUUUACUUCCAUGAAAGUUUAUUCUCAGAGUGGAACAUUUGAGGAUGAUGGUGCAAAUAGUAUGCUUGCUGAGCCAGGUUUAUAGUCAGGUGAGAGAGAAUGUUGGCUAAUUGGUAAGAAAGGUGCUGACAUCAAAGUUAAAGGUUUGGGAUAAAAGCCAUUGGUGUUGGAUGCAAUCUAUUUCUGGGUCAACCUGUAAUUGUUGAUAGUCACUUUCAAUUCUUUUUUUUUUCUUGAGACAGGGUUUCUCUGUGUAGCCCAGGCUGUCCUGGAACUCACUCUGUAGACUAGGCUGGCCUUAAACUCAGAAAUCCUCCUGCCUCUGCCUCCCAGUUCUGGGAUUAAAGGCAUGUGCCACCAUUGUCCGAUCCUUCAAUUCUUUUUCUGUUACUUUACAUGUUUUUAUAAGCCUGUGCAAUGGCAUAGUGAAGAAAUUUGUUGCCAUGGUUGAUCUUCAUUCAUUCUUAUUUUUCUUCUUUCUUUCUCCCUUUCUCUUUUUUAAAAAUUGUAUUUAUUUAAUGUAUGAGUAUUCUGCUGCCUAUAUACAUCUACAGGUCAGAUGAGGGCAUCAGAUCCCCUUAUAGAUGGUUGUGAGCUACCAUGUAGUUUCUGGAAAUUGAACACAACCUCUGGAAGAGCAGCCAGUGUACUUAACUGCUGAGCCAUCUCUCUAGCCCUUGCUUAGUUUUUUAAAGAUUAUCUGUGAUUGCCCCUUCAUAUAUUUUUUUGCAUUAAAAAAAACCCUAUAACUGCUCAAUACACCACUCUUUUAAUACCUUCUCUGCUGGUAAUAUGGUAUCAUUAUUUUGUGCUCCUUUGCACUUAUUUUUAAUCCUGUUUUAUCUGUUUAAAUACUCUUCCAUAACUCUGUUCCUAGUGCUCUAAUUAUUUUGUCCUUGUUCUCUCGGAGUUCUUUCUGGCUCAUUUUGGUGUUCUAGUUUAGUACGUAAUAAGAUGCAUUCUUUCUGUGUAAUUUUUUUGCCUUAGUUUUAGCAGAACAGUUUUCAUAUAUUCCUAAUUUAGUGCCUCUCAUAGGUCAUGUAGUCCUAACAGUUUAGUAGAAUCUCAUUGAAUUUUUAAAGUUUGUUCUUUGAAGCUUUGGAUAGCAGCUAGUGGUCAUAGAUAAAUUGACUGUAAACUAGGACGACUAUUUAUAAAACUACAAAAAGCACAAAGUAUAGCACAGCUCCAUGAGCCUAUGUAAAUCGUAGGCUAUCCCAUUGUGUUAGACUGCAAUAGAGUCAGAGACUUAGAACCAGAAAGGAUCAUAGAAAUAAUAUUAUUCUUAAGCAAAGUGAAUAAGAAUUGCUGAAUAGUAGAUCUGUGAACUUCUUACAAUAUGUUAAGAUUGUGCAGUUUUUCAGGGUAAGAAUUUAUCACUUGAAUGGAUUCGCAAGGUAUCUUGACUGAAGAAAUACUGUCUUAUGAGCUUGCAAAAAGUGACACAUUAAACACUUGAGGCUCAAAGAUUGUUAAGACAGGAUAGAUGGCUGGCUUGGUUGUUGUUAUUCAUAGUAAUGAUCCUGACCAAACAGGAAAUUUGUAGUUAGAUCAACUGUGCUGUGCUUAACAAAUGGGAAAUGAAGACUAUAAGAGGUGCUGAAGAGAUGCACUGGUUGCUCUUCUGAAUAUCUGGGUUUAGUUCCCAGCACUCAUAGGACAGCUUACAGCCAUCUGAAACUCUAGUUCAGGGGAUCUCACCCACUUUUUUGACCUGUGGUGGGCACACCAGUCACACACACGGUGCACAUACUUACAUGUAGGCAAAAUACUGAUAACC